UGUGUGGGGCUCAAUUGUGCUUGCCCCAAUUAUGCUUUGUUAAUGUAGAACUUGUUUUACAGUUUUAUUUUUUACAGUGGCCAGUACUACUUCUACAGCUACUACUCAAACUAGGAAGGAGACUGAAAAAGGUUCACAAAAUCCGCAACCACUUACUAAGAAGCAUUUGGAUGAAUCCCUAAUUGAUUUCAAUGGAAGUACAUGGAAGGAGUUGGGACUGCAACUAGGAUUAUCUUAUAAUUAUUCUCACGCUGAAGAGGGCCUUAGAGAGUGUCUAGUUAAAUGGUUGCAGAGACCUGAUGGUGGAGGACCUAAUUGGACCACUCUGGUUGAGUCUCUUGAUAAAAAACCAACAGCUGAUCACUUCAAAGCUCUCAGUGUAUGUGAUUUAGAUGGUAUCCUUACAGACUUGAAGGAUGGUCAUUAUUAUAGUAGCGAUUGGAAAGAGCUAGGACUUGAAAUGGGAUUAUAUUAUAAUACACUG